AAGACAGGUGCUGCAUGGCUGUCGUCAGCUCGUGUCGUGAGAUGUUCGGGUUAAGUCCCGCAACGAGCGCAACCCCUAUCUCUAGUUGCCAGCGAUUCGGUCGGGGACUCUAGAGAUACUGCCCCGGUUAACGGGGAGGAAGGUGGGGAUGACGUCAAGUCCUCAUGGCCCUUAUGCCCAGGGCUACACACGUGCUACAAUGGGCGGUACAAGGGUAGCGAUGCCGCGAGGUGAAGCCAAUCCCAAAAAGCCGUCCACAGUUCGGAUUGGAGUCUGCAACUCGACUCCAUGAAGCCGGAAUCGCUAGUAAUCGUGGAUCAGCAUGCCACGGUGAAUACGUUCCCGGGCCUU
rnacentral:rRNA from 1 species